rnacentral:rRNA from 1 species
UACGGGGGGAGCAAGCGUUGUUCGGAUUUACUGGGCGUAAAGGGCGCGUAGGCGGCGCAACAAGUCACUUGUGAAAUCUCCGGGCUUAACCCGGAGCGGUCAAGUGAUACUGUCGUGCUAGAGUGCGGAAGGGGCUACUGGAAUUCUCGGUGUAGCGGUGAAAUGCGUAGAUAUUGGGAGGAACACCAGUGGCGAAGGCGGCUCACUGGACUGGUACUGACGCUGAUGCGCGAAAGCGUGGGGAGCAAACAGG